rnacentral:rRNA from 1 species
AGGCCACUGCUAUCGGAAUUCGAUUAAGCCAUGCGAGUCGAGAGGUGUAAGACCUCGGCAUACUGCUCAGUAACACGUGGACAACCUACCCUGAAGUGAGGGAUAACCCCGGGAAACUGGGGAUAAUACCUCAUAGACUAUGGAUGCUGGAAUGCUCUGUAGUUCAAAGGCCCGCCGCUUCAGGAUGGGUCUGCGGCCGAUUAGGUAGUUGUUGGGGUAACGGCCCAACAAGCCUGUAAUCGGUACGGGUUGUGGGAGCAAGAGCCCGGAGAUGGAUUCUGAGACACGAAUCCAGGCCCUACGGGGCGCAGCAGGCGCGAAAACUUUACAAUGCGAGCAAUCGUGAUAAGGGAACUCCGAGUGCCUGUAAAAUCAGGCUGUCCGCCAGUGUAAAUAACUGGUGAAGAAAGGGCCGGGCAAGACCGGUGCCAGCCGCCGCGGUAAUACCGGCGGCUCGAGUGGUGGCUACUAUUACUGGGCUUAAAGCGUUCGUAGCUGGUCUGUUAAGUCUCUGGGGAAAUCUUCCGGCUUAACCGGAAGGCGUCUCAGGGAUACUGGCAGACUAGGGACCGGAAGAGGUGAGAGGUACUUCAGGGGUAGGAGUGAAAUCCUGUAAUCCUUGAGGGACCACCUGUGGCGAAGGCGUCUCACCAGGACGGCUCCGACAGUGAGGAACGAAAGCUGGGGGAGCAAACCGGAUUAGAUACCCGGGUAGUCCCAGCUGUAAACGAUGCACGUUAGGUGUAUCGGUGACCACGAGUCACCGAGGUGCCGAAGAGAAAUCGUGAAACGUGCCGCCUGGGAAGUACGGUCGCAAGGCUGAAAUUUAA